AUUGAACGCUGGCGGCAUGCUUUACACAUGCAAGUCGAACGGUAACAGGGAGCUUGCUCCGCUGACGAGUGGCGAACGGGUGAGUAAUGCGUCGGAACGUGCCGAGUAGUGGGGGAUAACGCAUCGAAAGGUGUGCUAAUACCGCAUACGUACUGAGGUAGAAAGUGGGGGACCUUCGGGCCUCACGCUAUUCGAGCGGCCGACGUCUGAUUAGCUAGUUGGUGAGGUAAAGGCUCACCAAGGCGACGAUCAGUAGCGGGUCUGAGAGGAUGAUCCGCCACACUGGGACUGAGACACGGCCCAGACUCCUACGGGAGGCAGCAGUGGGGAAUUUUGGACAAUGGGCGCAAGCUUGAUCCAGCCAUGCCGCGCGUCUGAAGAAGGCCUUCGGGUUGUAAAGGACUUUUGUCCGGGAGCAAAUGCUGGUGGCUAACAUCCACCGGAGCUGAGAGUACCGGAAGAAUAAGCACCGGCUAACUACGUGCCAGCAGCCGCCGUAAGAC
rnacentral:rRNA from 1 species